rnacentral:rRNA from 1 species
GAUGAACGCUGGCGGCGUGCCUAAUACAUGCAAGUCGAGCGAAUGGAUUGAGAGCUUGCUCUCAAGAAGUUAGCGGCGGACGGGUGAGUAACACGUGGGUAACCUGCCCAUAAGACUGGGAUAACUCCGGGAAACCGGGGCUAAUACCGGAUAAUAUUUUGAACUGCAUGGUUCGAAAUUGAAAGGCGGCUUCGGCUGUCACUUAUGGAUGGACCCGCGUCGCAUUAGCUAGUUGGUGAGGUAACGGCUCACCAAGGCAACGAUGCGUAGCCGACCGGAGAGGGUGAUCGGCCACACUGGGACUGAGACACGGCCCGGACACCUACGGGUGGCUGCAGUAACGAAUAUUGGGCAAUGGGCGCAAGCCUGACCCAGCAAUGCCGCGUGCAGGAUGAAGCCCCUCGGGGUGUAAACUGCUUUUAGGGUUCAGCAAGUAAUACGGGUGAAUAAUCCGUAAAGUUGAGCAGACCCAGAAAAAGCCUCGGCUAACUCUGUGCCAGCAGCCGCGGUAAUAC